rnacentral:rRNA from 1 species
AGAGUUUGAUCCUGGCUCAGAACGAACGCUGGCGGCGUGCCUAACAUAUGCAAGUCGAACGGAGAUAAGGGGCUUGCUCCUUAUUUUAGUGGCGCACGGGUGAGUAACGCGUGGAUAAUCUACCUUGGAAUCUGGGAUAACAUCUCGAAAGGGGUGCUAAUACCGGAUAAGACCACGAGCUCUUCGGAGUUUGCGGUAAAAGGGGGCCUCUGUAUAUGCUUCUGUUUCAAGAUGAGUCCGCGUACCAUUAGCUAGUUGGCAGGGUAAUGGCCUACCAAGGCGACGAUGGUUAGCUGGUCUGAGAGGAUGAUCAGCCACACUGGAACUGAGACACGGUCCAGACUCCUACGGGAGGCAGCAGUGGGGAAUUUUGCGCAAUGGGGGAAACCCUGACGCAGCAACGCCGCGUGAGUGAUGAAGGCCUUCGGGUCGUAAAGCUCUGUCAGAGGGAAAGAAGUGUGGGAGGGUUAAUACCCCUUUCACUUGACGGUACCCUCAAAGGAAGCACCGGCUAACUCCGUGCCAGCAGCCGCGGUAAUA